UUACAUCUCCAAUAAUUUUUGAUAUUUUUGAAUAAAAAUUGUUGCGUUACAUCUUCAAGAAUAUGUUUUUGAAACGGAGCAACGAUUAUAAAAUGUAUGGAUCAAGCACAGAAAAUAAUUCGCGCAUUUUUUCGAUCUCGAAAGGACCUCUUCAACAGACGAUCGUGUGGAAGAAUCGUAAAUCCCUUGUCGUAAAACUCGUCUCGAUGAACCAAUCACUUAACGGAGGGAACGUGCGAAAAGCCCAGAACAAACGCUUCGCAGUUAUUGCAUGUCGUACGUACGAGCUAUUAAGUGUUUCGACCUUACGUCGAGUGUCAAGACGAGAACGAACGGGCCGCCAGUAGGUUGGCACGCUACGAUUUGUUCGAAUCUAACGAGUAACAUCCUCAUCCGUGAAUUUACCUUUCAACAGAGCCGUUCUAACACGAUCCGCGAUACCUGACCCCCAGUGGCGCGUCAAACCAUCACGGGAUCAAGACGGAAUUGAAUCUGGAGACACUCGAAGGAGGCCAUUCUUAAAUUCAAUCUCAUUGUGUAUUAAGCGUGACAUUGUAACGUCACGCAACGUUGUGCGUAACCGCGCGGUUCGUUUGAAAUUACUGCAAGGAGCAAGAACGAAGAUUCGAGCACUUGGUGCCACAAAUUGUUGCUUAACCGCUUCGACCUAACGCCGAGUGUCAAGAUGGAGGAGAAGUGACUCGAUCUGGCCACUGGGUUAGCAGGAAUUUCCUUCGGAGUCACCGUUACCUCGAACGGGGAUUCCAUCGAUGGCUGACUCAACGACCAACUCCUACGGGUAGAAAGUAGCCAACGCGUGUACACGUAACGUUCUGUGGGAUAACCCCAGCGUUCUAAUGAACCGUGAGCCUGUGUCUAUCGGCAAGUUACGUGCACAGAGUACUCUCGCAGCCUCGACGGCGUGUGCAUCGAGAGAGAUAGAAGAAAGGAGGACGACCGAAAAUAGAUUUAAUGUUAUGUGAACGGCAGAGAGACACGCCAAGCCGCUGGACAACAUGGGGUCACGAUCGUGGAAGAAACGGAACUCUAUAAUAGACUUUAUGACAGUAGCGCGGAAGGUAAAUCUUUUAAAUGAUGGAUGUACGUGCGAGGGGUGGAAUUGAAUUCAGCAUUCAUACACAGUACAUUCGUACUGUUAUUUCACAUCUUGCAGUUCUCUUCAGGGUUACUCGAAAUGAAGAGGAUUUUAAUUGCAGAACGUACAUGUAAAAACCAAUCAUUUAAAAAUUUUAAAAUUGUUCAAUUUUAUUGUCUUUACUUUCAAUUUCUAGAUUUUAAUUAAAAAUUUGAUUCUUUGAGUGAAUUUUCUUUCCAUUUAAUUUGGAUCAUCGAUAAAACGUAAUUGCAAGACUUUGUCAACGAAUCUUGCGUUAAGGUAACUAUUAGAAGACAAGAUAUGACUUUUUGUUAUUUUUGUGUUGAUAUAAUAGUAAAUUCAACGUAAAUAGCCUGGAUACCUCUGUUCUUCGUCACAAGAACACCAGCAUCACCAGCUGAGUAAUAGACGUCGCAUGGUGCGCAAGCCAGAUGCGCAGGAAACUAUUUAUCAUCUUCUACCGCAAGGUACAGAUCGCAGAUGUGUACACCGUUAAGGAGCAAUCGGAUAUUUUAGUAAUCAGUCAAACUAUAUAUGAAAGAUUCAUGACUGUGGACGUUUAUGCAACAGAAAAUGAAUUCGAAUAAAAUACUUAAAUUUCGAUGAAGUUACAAAAAUAAAUAUAUACAGAUGACAUAUGAGAAGUCGUUUAAAGGGAAAAUAUAAAUUAUCUCUUCGUAUUAGUAUACGUUUAAAGUAUAUUCUAAAAUUCUUCCAAAUAAAUCAUUGACAGUGGUUUUCAUUGAACACCCAAUAAAAUUAAUUCUGAAAGUUAAGUGCCAAAGAAAAUGAAUUCGAAUAAAAUACUUAAAUUUCGAUGAAGCCAAGAAUAAAUAUUUGAUAAUUUAA